GGCGAGGGACCCCGGCAAUGGGAGGCUGUGAACCUGGUCAGGGGAGAGAUUCAGCAGCCAUAAACGGUACCUUUCAUGUGUUUGGGUCUCUCGCCGAA
rnacentral:SRP_RNA from 1 species